AGAAAUAGAUGUUAGUGACACAUACAAAUUAAGAAGCUAUGCAGCUACAACUACAUUAGACUGCCAUCAGAUAGAGAGAAUAAUAGAAGUCACAUGACCCAAAAAGAAAGUGAAAGGACAUUUAUAAAUCCAAAGUCACACGUCAUCAACACCAGUGUGAACAAUAAACCAAGGGACGACAACUUCACAGCACAGUUGGACAUUCAGUUGAUGACAAAAAAAAAUGGAAAAAAUUAAAAAUAUCUUGUCAGGAAAUCGCUCACCACCUCCUCUGUUAAAGGCAGAAGAGAGGAUCAUACUAUGGGGGUGAGUGUUAAAAGUGUGGUUAAUUAGAGAGGUGUACUAGAAUUAAU